GCGGCAGUAAUUCAGUGGUAGAAUGUCAGCUUCCCAAGCUGGACGUCGCGGGUUCAAGUCCCGUCUGCCGCUCAA
rnacentral:tRNA from 2 species